UACGAAGGGGGCUAGCGUUGUUCGGAUUUACUGGGCGUAAAGCGCACGUAGGCGGAUCGAUCAGUCAGGGGGUGAAAUCCCAGAGCUCAACUCUGGAACUGCCUUUGAUACUGUCGAUCUGGAGUAUGGAAGAGGUGAGUGGAAUUCCGAGUGUAGAGGUGAAAUUCGUAGAUAUUCGGAGGAACACCAGUGGCGAAGGCGGCUCACUGGUCCAUUACUGACGCUGAGGUGCGAAAGCGUGGGGAGCAAACAGG
rnacentral:rRNA from 1 species